GGGAGGCAGCAGUGGGGAAUUUUGGACAAUGGGCGAAAGCCUGAUCCAGCCAUUCCGCGUGAGUGAAGAAGGCCUUCGGGUUGUAAAGCUCUUUCGCAAGGGAAGAACACUUAUCCUCUAACAUAGGAUGAGGUUGACGGUACCUCGAUAAGAAGCACCGGCUAACUACGUGCCAGCAGCCGCGGUAAUACGUAGGGUGCGAGCGUUAAUCGGAAUUACUGGGCGUAAAGCGUGCGCAGGCGGUUUUGUAAGUCAGAUGUGAAAUCCCCGAGCUCAACUUGGGAACUGCGUUUGAAACUACAAGACUAGAAUAUGUCAGAGGGGAGUAGAAUUCCACGUGUAGCAGUGAAAUGCGUAGAGAUGUGGAGGAAUACCAAUGGCGAAGGCAGCCCCCUGGGAUAAUAUUGACGCUCAUGCACGAAAGCGUGGGGAGCAAACAGGAUUAGAAACCCCAGUAGUCCG
rnacentral:rRNA from 1 species